GGGUGCGAUCAUACCAACGUUAAUGCAUCAGAUCCCAUCAGAACUCCAUAGUUAAGCGCACUUGGGCUAGAGUAGUACUGGGAUGGGUGACCUCCCGGGAAGUCCUAGUGUUGCACCAU
rnacentral:rRNA from 1 species